rnacentral:lncRNA from 1 species
AGAACUUCCUGCUUGGUCACAGGUGGCCCCGUCGGCCCCCGAGGGAUGUCAGUCAGGGGACGUGGAACACCUGCACAAACUGGAUUUUUGCCCUAUCACGACUCUGAGGUACCAUCCGGCAACUGAAGUGUCCUCUUUCCAAUAGAAUGCCUGGCCUCUCCCACCAACUUCACGGUUCAGCCGGAAUGAAAUUUGGCUAACAAGUCACUCAGAUGAGUCACUGGCUCAUUACAAGAUUAUAGAUUUCUAAUCUAUAGCCUUCCAGUUGUGUAGAUCUUAGGAUUCACUCUAAUAUUGGGAGCAGUGCUAUAUAGUACAGACAGUAUUGUCAUUUUUACUGUCCCUGGAGAUUGUUUGCAGGACCUUGCACAAGUCCCGCAAUGCAUGAUGCUCAAGUCCCCUGCGUAAUGAGGAAGCAGGCUGAGGGCUGAGGGAAGGCAAAGGGGAGAUAUGAAUGUGUUCCGAAGGUUUCCCGGUGGCUCAUGGCAUCCUCCAAAGUCCUGCCUGCGAGCUGUUCCUGACCAAGAAAACCCGCGGAGCCUGACUCUGAAAUCCAGUCCCGAUGAAGAGGAGGUGAUAUUCAUGUGUCCUGGCUCACACGUGAAGCAGAGGGCUUCUUGGAGUUGGUUCUUCCCUUUCCCCUUUAUUCAGU